ACUCCUACGGGAGGCAGCAGUGGGGAAUAUUGUACAAUGGGGGAAACCCUGAUGCAGCCAUGCCGCGUGUGUGAAGAAGGCCUUCGGGUUGUAAAGCACUUUCAGUAGGGAGGAAGGUAGUGUAGUUAACACCUGCAUUAUUUGACGUUACCUACAGAAGAAGCACCGGCUAACUCCGUGCCAGCAGCCGCGGUAAUACGGAGGGUGCGAGCGUUAAUCGGAAUUACUGGGCGUAAAGCGCAUGCAGGCGGCCUGUUAAGUCAGAUGUGAAAGCCCGGGGCUUAACCUCGGAAUUGCAUUUGAAACUGGUAGGCUAGAGUCUUGUAGAGGGGGGUAGAAUUUCAGGUGUAGCGGUGGAAAUGCGUAGAGAUCUGAAGGAAUACCAGUGGCGAAGGCGGCCCCCUGGACAAAGACUGACGCUCAGAUGCGAAAGCGUGGGGAGCAAACAGGAUUA
rnacentral:rRNA from 1 species